AAAGUAUAAAGCAAGGGCUAAAUUUACAUUAAUAGAAACUGUACAGAGAUAUCUUCAUCUUUAUCAAAGGGUCAUGCAUAAAACCAGACAUAAUUAUUAUGUCUAUAAAUUGCAGGUGAAGCUUGCUUUUCUUCCCCUUCACUAUUAGACUUGUUUUGGCUAGUCUCUUCAAAUUUCAGUACUGAGUGGAAAACUCCAAGGAAUGCUAUGCUAACUAUCAAAAAGAAAAAUCAGCUUAUGACUUAUGAACAUUGCACUUGGCAUGCUUACUUAACUGACAUGAGUUUAGAGGAAACACCUCACGAAAUGCAUUACAUUCUUACUUUUCUAGCAACAAAGGCCCAAAGAAAGGAUGUCCAUAACAGACUGUAUGUCAAACACUACCCAGAAAAACUAAAUGAUGCUCGAACUCAAAAUUGGUACAUCAAAUACUCAAUGCUCAAACUCAGUCACUGCUUCAACUGGUAAAAAU
rnacentral:lncRNA from 1 species